rnacentral:rRNA from 1 species
UACAGAGGUCUCAAGCGUUAAUCGGAAUUACUGGGCGUAAAGCGCGUGUAGGCGGAUGAGCAAGUCUGCUGUGAAAGCUCCUGGCUUAACCGGGAGUGGUCGGUGGAAACUGCUCGUCUGGAGGACGGUAGAGGUAGGUAGAAUUCCCGGUGUAGUGGUGAAAUGCGUAGAGAUCGGGAGGAAUACCUGUGGCGAAGGCGGCCUACUGGGCCGGACCUGACGCUGAGACGCGAAGGCGUGGGGAGCGAACGGG